rfam:Cajanus cajan chromosome 2, whole genome shotgun sequence.
CUCGAGCUUGGUAACUCUAGCUUGUAACCUUAGUGGGGGCUCUAAGAUGUUGGAACAUGUCUCGGGCUUCGCUUGGUUGGGCUUGUAGGUGCACAUAGCAGGCCUGCCCGCUCCAAGUUAAGAGUUGGGCCAUGGGACUCGAGUGAAGGCUUUGGGUCUCCUGGUUCCUAAACUGGAGGGCAAAGCGUGAGGCUGGAUUCACAGAGCAGCGAAUACUUCCGUCUCCUAACGGUGGAGGGAAAAUGGGCCGCUGCACUUUCAGCCCAGGAUGACCGGGUGGGCCAAGCUCCUGAACCAACAUUUUU